GACGAACGCUGGCGGCGUGCUUAACACAUGCAAGUCGAACGGAAAGGCCCUGCCUUUGUGGGGUGCUCGAGUGGCGAACGGGUGAGUAACACGUGAGUAACGCGCCCUUGACUUUGGGAUAACUUCAGGAAACUGGGGCUAAUACCGGAUAGGAGCUCCUGCUGCAUGGUGGGGGUUGGAAAGUUUCGGAGGUUGGGGAUGGACUGGCGGCUGAUCAGCUUGUUGGUGGGGUAGUGGCUUACCAAGGCUUUGACGGGUAGCCGGCCUGGGAGGGUGACCGGCAACAUUGGGACUGAGAUAGGGCCACGGCUCCUACGGGAGGCAGCAGUGGGAGUGAUUGAAAAAUGGGCGGAAGCCUAAUGCAGCAACACCGCGGGCGGGAUGACGGCCUUCGGGUUAUAGACCGAUUUCGCCUGUAACGAAGAGUAAGUGACGGUAAUGGGUAGAGAAGCACCGGCUAACUACGUG
rnacentral:rRNA from 1 species